UGUGCGGGUUCCUGGACUCAGUGGCAAUGUU
rnacentral:piRNA from 1 species